AUGCGCCCUGUUAUCAAAUCCACUUUUAAGGCUGUAAAGUCAAUUUCUGUGAAGAUAGUCUGUGCAUAUGGUAAUAAACCGAACAGUAGAGCGUGGCCCCUUCCCCACCGCCUUACUAGGGGCCCUAUUCUAGGCCCUCUGGGGCCGGGGCUCUCAGUCUGCGCUGCACUUUUAUUCACUCGGGGACUUAAAAACAUCUCGGAGCUCCAGCGUCACCCCGCAGGAAUGAUAUCAGAAUCUCCGGGGUGGGGCCCAGACAUCCAUGAUUGUGCUGUGGGGUUAAGGUCGAGACCAUGUUCCAACCUAGGAAGAUGCCUGCUCUUUCCCAGCUCAGAACCUCACAGGGUUCCGUGGGGCAGGAUGGAGACACCUCACCUCGCAGCUGCCUGCAGGAUGCAGCAAGGGCAUUACCCUACAGGUGGAAUGGGACAUUUUUGAAGAAUUCACGAGGUCCCGUCCUAGGGGUCACCGACCGCUUUGGACACCUCGUGGUCCUCCUGGGUGCCUGGGAGAGGACAGGAGAGUCUGUUGAAGGCAGCAAGGGAAACUGAGAAGUUUGUACUAGCGCGAUGAAGCAGGAGGUGAGGCUCUGGGAUCGCACGACUGUCAUAAAAGAAGCCGAGGAACUUCCUCAUUCAUGUCUGCUUGAGGAAACGCUGCAGAAACUAGAGGCACGUUAUGCUGGAUGAGGUGAGAAUGUGUUUCAGGGUCACGUAAGGGCGCCCGAGCUUUGCAGGGAAAGUUGAAAUGAGAACAAUGUCCAUAUUGAGUGCAAAACAAUUAGAUGAGACAGUAAGAAGACACAAAGAGACAUACGGGGAGGAAAAGUUGAUUAAUUUCCCCACUUCUGGUGUGAAAAGUUCAUCACCUGAAAAGCCAAGAGUGCAUUGAAUAACUAGGUAAUAAUGCAUUUCACUGUCAUGAUGGCUCCCUUAAUUCAUUCCUCCCCCACACACCCCUUAGGUUCCUGUCUCCGGUUAUAAUAUCAAUGUAUAUUUUUUGGUGCCUCUUUGGUCCCAGAGGUGUUGGGGUUUUGUUGUUAUUGUUGCUGUUGCUUAAUGAUCUCCCUGCAAGGGUCAGUGGCAAGUUCUCACUGUUAAAAAGGGAAUAAGAAGGUAACACAGAUGAUAAAAAUAGACUCUCCUGGGCCUGUGCUGUCUCACUGACUGGAGCAGGCCAACCUAAGAGCACCACGGUGAUCUCGAGGGUCUCGUGGCCCCACGUUCCAAGAGGAAAUAGGAGUUAAUAUUUUUAAAAAUUUUCUGUAAGAAUCUUCAGUGCACCAAACUUUUGGAGUCCCAUAAGAACCCUCAAAUGUAUAUUCAUAAAUAUAUGUGUACUUAAAAUUUUGCAUGCGUUUCAUACCAUCUUCCCUCCUUGUCAGUCAUGGAUCCAAUAAUAGUAGUAAGUAUAAGAACAACGUAUGCUACUAUAUACG
rnacentral:lncRNA from 12 species